ACCAGACUCCUACGGGAGGCAGCAGUGAGGAAUAUUGGUCAAUGGGCGGAAGCCUGAACCAGCCAAGUCGCGUGAGGGAUUAAGGCCCUGCGGGUCGUAAACCUCUUUUGCCGGGGAGCAGAGGUCCGGACGUGUCCGGGCCGGGAGAGUACCCGGAGAAAAAGCAUCGGCUAACUCCGUGCCAGCAGCCGCGGUAAUACGGAGGAUGCGAGCGUUAUCCGGAUUUAUUGGGUUUAAAGGGUGCGCAGGCGGAAUGUCAAGUCAGCGGUAAAAUUUCGGGGCUCAACCCCGUCGUGCCGUUGAAACUGGCGUUCUUGAGUGAGUGAGAAGUAUGCGGAAUGCGUGGUGUAGCGGUGAAAUGCAUAGAUAUCACGCAGAACUCCGAUUACGAAGGCAGCAUACCGGCGCUCAACUGACGCUCAUGCACGAAAGCGUGGGUAUCGAACAGGAUUAGAUACCCUAGUA
rnacentral:rRNA from 1 species